CUUUCUCUCACAUAAGCACACAAUGGGAGGCAGCCAUGUGCAAGCCAGGAAGAAAACCCUCACCAGAAACCAACCCGGUGAUGCUUUGAUCUUGGACUUUCAGCCUCCAGAACUGUGUGUCUGUUGUUAGGCAACCUUUAUUUAGUCAUGGUGACUUCCUAUUUCCCCAGCUCAGAAUCAGGCACAUCAUUGUAGUGGUGGGGCAACCUUGCUGAACUCAGUUUGUCUUCUAGGCACAUACCCUCCAAAACUCCCUUAGCAUUCUAAAGGCCAUCCUUUGGAACACUGGUCAUGCUCACAAACACUUCUGGAUUCUUCUUAUUUUUCCUCAAACUGCAUUCUCUUGUAGAUGGCAGAUGGCAAUCCUGGGAAUGGACCUACAGACUUGUGCAUCUCAGUUCAUGUGCAGGAUUAGUAGUGAUUUAUGACUUAUUUAUUACUUACAAGGGGCAUCACAGGCUGGGUCUUCUCUGUAGCCCCUACAGAGGCCUCACUCAGCAGAUCUCCACACGUUACGCGCAAAGUCCUAACCGUAGUGGCUUUUGGCUGUUCUUCAAAGCACUCACAUAUAGCAGCACAUGGUUGUGCAUCUAGAAAUUUUCAAAUCAUCCCUUCCUAGAUAGGAACAGGAAGGCACCAGCGACACAGGGGUCUAGCCAGUGGCAUGCUGUGUUCUUACUGAACCUGUUUAAAAAGAACUGCUUACACCGGGCCCCAAUGUGCCUUCUGCUGGCUGUCUCACGCA
rnacentral:lncRNA from 1 species